CAGAAGCAGGACUUGAAGCCCAGUCUGCCUGUGUCCAAGAGGGGAGGAAGAUGCCUUUCCACAGAUGAAGAGGGAUGCAGGACUUUCCAAGAACAGGGGCUAUACCUUAUACGUCAUGGUAUCUCACGGGGAAACUUGUACUCACAGCUGCUCCUUAAAUAGAACAGAACUGAAGAACUGGGAUUUCUGAGUCUAGAGAAGCCUUGGAGAUCUCGGCAGCUGCCUACAAAUCCCAGGCCUGACCAGCAUCAGAAGCAGGGGGACCCCUGAAAGGCUGACCACCUCCUUGUCUUGUGAAAGUACAGAUGACUUGCCAAAGCCACGCAUCUAAUUAUCAGCAGAACCAAGGUCUUUGGGCGCUAAGUUGCCAUUUUUGAGGAAAUGUUACAAAUAAGAGAGAACUGACCUGAUUUCGUCUAUUCCAGAAGGCAGAACUAAGAACAAAGGGUAGAAAUUACAAGUGAGGUUGAAGAGUCUUGGGGCUAUUCAGAAAUUCUUUAACUGAAAUGAAAUUAGCUCCUUAUGAAGUUAUCCAUAGCAACUUUUUCGCAGUCCUCCUUAGCUCUCCUUCCUAUCAGCAGAUAUCUUUCAACCCCUACUUUACUGAGAAGAUCAAGACCUUCUAACAUAAGUUCGCUCAAAAACUCAAAAUUUCUCUACAUCUCGAUAAAGAAUUUCCUUCCUUCCUUCCCUUUUGAGGUAUGUCCCUCCUUUUCCCCCAAGGCUGACAAUUCUGCUUUUUCCUGUUCAUGUUCAAAUCUAUUCCAUGCAGCCCCUUGAAUUACCACAUUUUAUUGCCAAACUUCUAAUGAAAGUAACCUCUACUCAAUCAAUCCAUAAACAUUUAUUAAGUGCCUACUUGAGGGAGAUGCUAAGGAUACAAAGAAUGAAAUCAUUUUUCUAUGCAAGGGACUUACAUGCUGUCAGCAAAGACAAGUAUAUAUAGAAAAAUAUGAAGAGAAAAAGAGAAGCACUCUGGGAAGGAAAGCACUAGCAAUCAGAGAAUCAGGAAAGCUUCAUCUGGUAGUGCAGACUGAAAGAGGUGGGUGUGAGUGAGAAGGGCGGGCACUACAGGCAGAGGGAAUGGCAAUUGCAAAGGCAGAAAGAUGGGAGGAGAGUUGUAGUGAAGUACCAAGAGAAAGUCAGUGGGGCUGGACUCCAGAAUGUAGGAAUAAUGUGAAAUGGGGAUGGAGAGAUUGGUUGUGGUCAGGUUGUGAAGAGUUUUGAAAACUUCAAAGAUGAAAUUAUAUUUGAUAUGAGAAG